rnacentral:lncRNA from 1 species
ACCUUCAAAACCCCCAUCAAAACCCACAUGCAACCACCAUAAACUCAUCCGCCGCCGUUCGCAUCUCCACUCUCAACCCUAAAUCACUUCACCAUCAAACUCUUCUUCCUACCGCCGCUCCCCUUCGCCCACCACCGUCGCUGCCUUCAUCACCCCCUUUACGAAACCCUCGCGACACCACACCAUACUACGCUUCUCAAACCUUCUUCGCCAAACCCAGCCUUCACCUCUCAACUCAAUAACCCUCUAUUUCCGCCGCUACCGUAUCAAAAUCCACAUUUUCGAACCAAACUCUGUUUUUCCGCUUCCAAAUAUGUGAAGCUUGUGCUGCUUCAUUUGUCUGUUUUUUAUGCAGGUUAUGUGCUUGUUUCAAUUGGAAUUGGAUUUUGGUUGAUUGUGGUAUCGAAGGGUUCCGUUCGGUUCUUGGUUAAAACGCAGAUUGACGACACGAACCGGCAACUAUACCGACGAAGUUUUCGGUUCAGAUCAGCACUGGAACGGUUGAGCACAAAGUCGAACUCCAAAUACGAUUCGGAGUCAUUAGUUCCUGAGAAAGCCCGAGUCGACGCCGCAGAAACGGUUGGAUUUUCCUUUUUAAAUUUCAUCUCUUGAUUCGGUUUAAUGUUUAGGUUUACUCUGCUGUAUUUUUGAUAUGGUCAUGUUGGAUAUGUUUUGUUUUCAUUUGAUUAUGCUGAUUGCCGUUCCGAUUCUGGGAUGAAUAUGGGUUGACAUUCUAUAAUUUUAGCCACUUGCUGUUUUGAUAUUCUGGAUUAAAGAUAGGAUUAAAUCGCGUAGUUUUGCUUAAAGAAUUAAUAUGUUCAGUAACUGCCAUGGUUGUUAUAGUUAGUGAAGGAAGCCCAUCCACUGUGACAUUAUUUUUCAAAACUUCUAAUACUGUAUUUACUAAUUGGUUUUGAUUCUAGUUAGUUAAUACAAUAUGUGAAGGAAAUAUAUCCACGUUGACAUUAUUUUGUUUUUAAUUAUCAUUUUAAAUUUAUAAUACUGUACUUACUAAUUGGUAUUAAUACUGUACUUACUAAUUGGUAUCGGAUUUAGUUAGUUAGAACAAUGAAAAUUUAGUUUAUGCUAAACAUGGUACUGUAGUUAGUGGCUUGUCAAAUAUUAUAAUGUAGGUAGAUUUCAAUUUAAUUAAGUUGUACUCAUACUGGAUUUUGAUACCGUAAUGUUGAUACAAUGCCG